GCCUGAGUGGCUCAGUCAGUUAAGCAUCUGACUGGCUCAGAUCAUGAUCUCCUUGUUUGUGGGUUCAAGCCCCACAUGGGGCU
rnacentral:tRNA from 1 species